UACGGACCGGACAAACGUUAUUCGGAAUCACUGGGCUUAAAGAGUACGUAGGCGGCUCAGCAAGUUGGGUGUGAAAUCCCUCGGCUCAACCGAGGAACUGCGCCCAAAACUGUCGGGCUUGAGGAAGGUAGGGGUGAGCGGAACUGAUGGUGGAGCGGUGAAAUGCGUUGAUAUCAUCAGGAACACCAGUGGCGAAGGCGGCUCACUGGACCUUCUCUGACGCUAAGGUACGAAAGCUAGGGGAGCGAACGGG
rnacentral:misc_RNA from 1 species